CAGAUACAGUGAUGAUAGCAUAGUUCAGCAGAGAUUCUUGUGAUGAACACAGUUUUGUCUUUCGCUCCUAUCUGAUGUAUCUU
ensembl:snoRNA